GGGUGUGGGUUAAGAGGGGAUGUGUUAGUUCCUACAAGUCACAGUAUUGGGGUCCUAUUUAUACUUCUGUAGUCAUGAAGAAGAAUAAUUCUUGGUUAAAGCUGUAUGCAUUCUGUCUUCCUUUCUCUGCAGCAGGCUACUUUUAGGGCAAGGGAAGAGCAGAGAGAAACAGUGACCGUUCCUGACACCUCUUCCUUCUUUUUCACAUUCUGUACCCCCUGGGGUGGUGAGCCAUUCUUAGAUCUUUCCCUAUUUAGCCACGUAGGAUUUGAAAAGGCCAAAACCCUCAACUAAAAACAUUAAUAUUCAACACACUAAACAUGAUAUUGGCCCUUCCUGUUUUCCAAUCCUGUUUUGGCCUCAAUAGUUUUGAUUAUCAUGGGCAGGGUUUUAUUUUUUUGACUGUUUCACGUGAGAUCCCACACUCUCUUGUUUCAGCAUGA
rnacentral:lncRNA from 1 species